UACGUAGGGUGCAAGCGUUGUCCGGAAUUAUUGGGCGUAAAGAGCUCGUAGGCGGUCUGUCGCGUCUGCUGUGAAAACUCGGGGCUUAACCCCGGACCUGCAGUGGGUACGGGCGGACUAGAGUGCGGUAGGGGAGACUGGAAUUCCUGGUGUAGCGGUGAAAUGCGCAGAUAUCAGGAGGAACACCGGUGGCGAAGGCGGGUCUCUGGGCCGUAACUGACGCUGAGGAGCGAAAGCGUGGGGAGCGAACAGG
rnacentral:rRNA from 1 species